rnacentral:lncRNA from 1 species
CGGCGAUCGUCUCGAGAAAGCCCAGCAGCGCCUGCGGUCGAUCGAGCCCCAUCGUCGAGGCCCACGCCUGCACGUCGUCCCAUGUCAUUGCGCCCCUGCCGCCUUGUGCCGCUGUACGCGCGCUUUGCGUCGCCAUCGCGCUGCGCAGUCGAUACCCCGUUUGUUUCUCUUUUUCUUUUUUCCCGCGUAGUUUCCUUUUCCCCCACGGUACUUUUGUUCCUUUUUUGGAAAAUAAAGAGAAGACGGUUCGGG